CACCACUUAAAACUUAGCGGCGGACGGGUGAGUAACACGUGGGUAACCUGCCUUGAACAGGGGAAUAACAAUGAGAAAUCAUUGCUAAAACCCCAUAAGCUCACACUUUCGCAUGGAAGAGUGAGAAAAUAUUUAUAGGUUCAAGAGGGGCCCGCGUCUGAUUAGCUAGUUGGUAGGGUAACGGCCUACCAAGGCAACGAUCAGUAGCCGACCUGAGAGGGUGAUCGGCCACAUUGGGACUGAGACACGGCCCAAACUCCUACGGGAGGCAGCAGUGGGGAAUAUUGCACAAUGGGCGAAAGCCUGAUGCAGCAACGCCGCGUGAAGGAAGAAGGGUUUCGGCUCGUAAACUUCUUUAGGCGGGGAAGAAAGAAAUGACGGUACCCGCAGAAUAAGCCCCGGCUAACUACGUGCCAGCAGCCGCGGUAAUACGUAGGGGGCAAGCGUUAUCCGGAAUUACUGGGUGUAAAGGGUGAGUAGGCGGCCAGAUAAGUCAUAUGUGAAAGCCCUAGGCUUAACCUAGGGACUGCAUAAGAGGGUUAAGUCCCGCACGAGCGCAACCCUUAUCUUUAUUAUCCCGGGGUUAAGUCAGCUCACUAAAAGACUGCCCUGGAUAAUCGAGAAAAAUGAACAAACUCAAUCAUCAUGCCCUAGUCUUGUGGCACAACCCGGCUUCAUUGGGUCAUACAAUUGAGCAGAGAUUGUGUGAAUAUCAAUCAAAAGCCCGUCCAUGUAGUUGCACCGCACUUGAAUGAAUGCAUUUAUCUAUAC
rnacentral:rRNA from 1 species